CUGUGUGUGUAGAAUGAACCAAAGCUGUGUAAAGGAGGGGUGUCCCUCCCAGAGAACAAGACCUCUCCGUGUAGUAGCAUGGACCUCUUGGUACAGGAGCACCAGUGGCCUCUGGAUGGAGUGAAGGCAAGACCAGACUUGUUCCAUAAGACCACCAACAAAGUCCUAAAUGCAAACUUCUACCGUUCUCUGGGGCAACCUCGGCAUGUGAAGCAGGUCGUAAUGUGGUGGUGACACUUCGCUGUAACUCGGAUAGGAGCUCACAAGGAGAACUCACAGUACCCAGUCAGUGUCCGGCUGGGAGAUGUGACGGCUGUACCUUGAGGGCGUGUCCUCAGUGUACCGCCACGGACUACCACCAGAUAGAGACAGCCUGCAAGGGAGAACAUGCUGUAUGUGUGGAAUGAACCAAAACUGUGUAGAGCAGGGGUGUUCCUCCCGGAGAACAAGACCUGGCCGUGUAAUAGCAUGGACUUCUUGGUAAAGAUGGGGGCGGCGAUAGGAUUAUUCACCGCCGCACUGCUCUUCAUCACCUGCUACUUCUGGAAGAAGAAC